UGCCGACCGACUUCGUUCUUUUUUGAGGUUAUGCUUUCGUCGCCGACCUCAUUUUUGUUUAGCGGCUUAAAUCUAUUUACAUUUACAUUCUUAAAACUAGAAUCCAAAACAUAUUUAUUAACUUAUGUAAAAUCGCGUUUAAAGUAUUAAACAGCAUUGAUUGCUAAAAUGGUGCAACCAGUUCCUGAAAAUAUAGAUUUUCCAAAGGAAGAAGAAAAGAUUCUGAACCUUUGGAAAUAUAUUAACGUAUUUCAGGAGUGUUUAAAAUAUUCUAUAGGCAAACCGAGAGGAUGUGAUCCUGUGACCUGGCAAUGGCGGUCCUCGGAAACUUCCCCACUGAAACCAGAUUAGGCCUACCUAUGAUUUAUUUCCAUAGGAUGGAUUACGCCGCCGGCAACAUAAUCAGGAAUACGAAAUCGACAAAACGUUGGGAUUCAAGGGCUCCGAUGACUUCAUGAAAUUGAGAAUAGCCGCAUACAACAGUGAAUGCCGUAAAAUGGUUAUGUGAUAUUCGACUGAAUGGGAGACAAUUGUUAAGCGUAUUGGUCGAUGGAUUGACUUUGAAAACGACUAUAAAACACUGUACCCGUGGUUCAUGGAGAGCGUCUGGUGGGUGUUUUCCGAACUGUGGAACAAUGGUUUUAUCUACAGGGGAGUCAAGGUCAUGCCCUUCACGACCGCUUGCAUCACUCUUCUCUCUAACUUCGAGUCCGGACAGAACUUCAAGGAGGUCGUUGAAUCUUGCGGUACGUUAGCGUUUCUCUGGCUGGUGGUUCAAGUCCAGGCCUCAGUUUAACAGGCGUUAGCGGCUCAAUCCUGCUCGAGAACCCAGUCUGGGAAAAUGUGCUGACACUGCGACAGCUGACCGACGAAGUUAGCAGCACACUGUUCGGCCUGCAGAGUCGCUCCAUCACUCUGGUAGACAGCGCCGGAAAACAGCUGACUCAGGCGUCCAUAUCGAAAAUGGCGUCAACUGUGAUAACGUGUUCACUAUAAUAGGGUUAAGAGACUAUGGGCUGUUUUUAUAAACUAUUUUAAUAAUACUGUCUUAGCUAAGUAAGCGUUUAUGAACAAAUCAGAACUAUUCUUGUAGUUUGACUAUUAUUAUUGGUUUUUUAUUGGUUGCUUAGCAACGAACCGCGCUUUGCUGAGACUGUUCUUUAUAAUAUUUUAUUAAUAACUAUUCAUAAUUCUAAAUACUGAAUAUUAACUCAACGAUUAUGAUUGGAUCCUGUUAUUGGCUGGUCAGCAACAAAACGUGCUUUGCUAAGACCGUUCUUGAUAAUUGUUUAUAAAUACUGCACCUUUGACAUGGGGUGUAACCACGUAGGGCACAUUGCUUAGUGUGAGUUUGAACUUGAAUCUACUGGUGAAUUAGAUGUAGCUACGGUCUGAUAUAUUGUAGUGUGAUGAGUUUUCAGUUGAAAUCAUCGUAUUACUUUUAUUCAGAAUAAUUAUCUUACACUGUGCUAACAGCCUAUAAUUUGAAGUAGGAACUUCAGUCUACUUUUGAAGAUGAGAAUAUUUUUAGCCAAAGGUUUAAACUUGUAGCCUACGGUUUUAUUAAAUCAAUACAACCUCUAUUGAAUAAUGUGAUAAUAAAAAUAGAGUGAGUUAUUUAAAAA